rnacentral:rRNA from 1 species
GACGAACGCUGGCGGCGUGCUUAACACAUGCAAGUUGAACGAGAAUUUUUCGAGUGAUUUCUUCGGAAUGAUCAUGAAAAAGGAAAGUAGCGAGCGGGUGAGUAACACGUGAGAAACCUGCCUUUCACAAAGGGAUAGCCUCGGGAAACCGGGAUUAAUACCUUAUGAAACCAAACACUCGCAUGAGAGAUUGGUUAAAGAUUUAUCGGUGUUAGAUGGUCUCGCGUCUGAUUAGCUAGUUGGUGGGAUAAAAGCCUACCAAGGCAACGAUCAGUAGCCGGAUUGAGAGGUUGAACGGCCACACUGGAACUGAGACACGGUCCAGACUCCUACGGGAGGCAGCAGUGGGGAAUUUUGCACAAUGGAGGAAACUCUGAUGCAGCGACGCCGCGUGAGUGAUGAAGGUCUUCGGAUUGUAAAACUCUGUCCUUAGUGAAGAUAAUGACAGUAACUAAGAAGCAAGCCCUGGCUAAAUACGUG